rnacentral:tRNA from 1 species
GGACGGUUAGCUCAGCAGGUUAGAGCGCUGCGUUGACAUCGCAGAGGUCACUGGUUCAAAUCCAGUACCAUCCACCA